UACGUAGGUGGCAAGCGUUAUCCGGAAUUAUUGGGCGUAAAGCGCGCGUAGGCGGUUUUUUAAGUCUGAUGUGAAAGCCCACGGCUCAACCGUGGAGGGUCAUUGGAAACUGGAAAACUUGAGUGCGGAAGAGGAAAGUGGAAUUCCAUGUGUAGCGGUGAAAUGCGCAGAGAUAUGGAGGAACACCAGUGGCGAAGGCGACUUUCUGGUCUGUAACUGACGCUGAUGUGCGAAAGCGUGGGGAUCAAACAGGAUUAGAUA
rnacentral:rRNA from 1 species